CAUAAGUCAUAAAUUACACAAGGUAAUAUUCACCUAACAAAAUUUAUACAUAGUGGUCCUAUAUUAAGUCAUAAAUCAUUUAUUAAUCACUAAUCACAUAGUUAAAUGGUCUUUCUUCUUUCUUGCCUAUUCUUUUUUCCAAUUUCCAGCUCUUUCAUUCCAUCAACACAAGGCGUUUCUCCACUCUCCAGCACGCUCGAUCCCAACAAAGAACUCGGUUUAUCCUCCGCACCAUUUUGGUCCUAAAAAACACAUGGUGAAGUGAAUAUGGAUCCUAUGACAAGUGACUGGUAUAAUCCUUCCUCUUCGUUUUUCCAAUUGACUGUUGCAUCUAAAUCUUUUACGUGGCAUUUUCUCCUUAAAAUCUGAAUAUACGUUUCUCAGUCAUGUUAAGGGGUAUCUUAGUUGCUGAAGAUUAGUCAGCUUGGUUAAAAAGUCCCUUCUUCCGUUUUCCCUUUUGCUCUCUUUCUUCUCUUAAUUUUUAUUUUCGUUCUAAUUUGAUUUAUUUUCCCAGUUUCCCAAUUUUGUGAUAUGCAAUGUAGUGGUAUCAAAAACUACUGACCUUAUGGAUGUAAAGUUAGGACAUACAAAACAAGCUGUAGCUCUUAGAAGAAUGAAUCUUUGCUUCGUUUUCGAUUAUAGUUUGUCUUAGAUAGAAAAUCUUCUCGUGUUUUCUUUUGGUUGUAUGUUAUUUAAUGCUCUAUCUGGACCUAUCCUCUCCAGUCCUAUCUUAUAGUAAGAUUCACAUUCAAUUUGCUCUCUGCCAUAAAAUGUCAUAGAUUAUGAAGAGCAAUAAUAACAGCAUGAGUCUAGUUUGGAGAUUCUGUUCCUAUUUCAAGAGGAGAAAGAGAAGACAUGGAAGAAGCGGGUAAAGACUGAGUCAUCUUGAGAGAGAGAGAGAGACAGACAGACAGAGAGCGAGCGAGCGAGCUUACAGAGGCAAAGAAUCUGUAUUUAGUAGUUGGGGCUUAACAGAAGAAAUUAGCACUCAAGAUGCUAUGGUAAGUUUGUCUUGUAAGAAAUAAGUGGCUAGACGACAACUUUCAAAAUCGGCAUCUCAUAGAAAGUAUGUCCUUGCUCUUCAUUUUUUUUUCCCUCAACUGGUUACCUUGAUAUGUACCACAAGGGCUAAUUGAGUAUUCUAAGAGACAUGAAUAUUUUAUUGCUGACUUUUCGGAUCUCAAACUUAUAGAACCACAAGAGAAUCUUACCAGUUGCUCAUGUAAUUAUGUUGAUUGCAUUAGAUCAGAUAUGGCCCUUGGUGUGAUGCAAGGACCAGACCAUUUACACGACCAGGAAGCUCAUGAUGAUCCUAGAACUCUUGGGAUGGUCAGUCAUUUGCCUAUCAUGUCUAAGCUGAAAAAGAUGGAUGCCUGCAAAUUGUCAAAUUGUCUAUUCGCUUUAUACUCUCUCAAGGUGUGGAGGCUCUGAUUUCAUGUUUAGCAGUGAGACGGAAGAUGGAAAAUCUAGAAUGGAGUAACUAGGUCAACAACCCAUGAAAUUUAACUAAUAUAUAUUUCCUUUGGAUAAUACCAAACUGAAAAUAUCUUUUUUAUGGAGCAAAAGGUGAGUAAAGAUGGCUAGUGAAAGUUCCUACCUAAGGAGACUAACAUCUGUAGUAAA